AUUGAACGCUGGCGGCAGGCCUAACACAUGCAAGUCGAACGCGUCGCGGACGGGUGUGUAAUGUCUGGGAAACUGCCUGAUGGAGGGGGACAACUACUGGAAACGGUAGCUAAUACCGCAUACCAUCAGCUGUGCCCAGAUGGGAUUGGCUAUUUGGUUGGGUAACGGCUCACCAUGGCGACGAUCCCUAGCUGGUCUGAGAGGAUGACCAGCCACACUGGAACUGAGACACGGUCCAGACUCCUACGGGAGGCAGCAGUGGGGAAUAUUGCACAAGGGGCGCAAGCCUGAUGGAGCCAUGCCGCGUGUGUGAGGAAGGCCUUCGGGUUGUAAAGUACUUUCGGCGGUGAGGCGUGACCCGCAGAAGAAGCACCGGCUAACUCCGUGCCAGCAGCCGCGGUAAUAC
rnacentral:rRNA from 1 species